CCUACGGGGAGCAGCAGUGAGGAAUAUUGGACAAUGGCCGUAAGGCUGAACCAGCCAAGUAGCGUGAGGGAAGACUGACCUAUGGGUUGUAAACCUCUUUUAUGCGGGGAUAAAGGUGUCCACGUGUGGAUGUUUGCAGGUACCGCAUGAAUAAGGACCGGCUAAUUCCGUGCAAGCAGCCGUGGUAAUACGGAAGGACCGGGCGUUAUCCGGAUUUAUUGGGUUUAAAGGGAGCGUAGUCCGGUCUUGAAGCGUGCCGUGAAAUUUUGUGGCUCAACCAUGGGAGUGCGGCGCGAACUGGAGUCCUUGAGUGUGCGGAAGGCAGGCGGAAUUCGUGGUGUAGCGGUGAAAUGCUUAGAUAUCACGAAGAACCCCGAUUGCGAAGGCAGCCUGCCGCAGCGUUACUGACGCUGAAGCUCGAAAGCGCGGGUAUCGAACAGGAUUAGAUACCCGGGUAGUC
rnacentral:rRNA from 1 species